rnacentral:rRNA from 1 species
GGAGGAAAAGAAACCAACCGGGAUUGCCUUAGUAACGGCGAGUGAAGCGGCAAAAGCUCAAAUUUGAAAUCUGGUACCUUCGGUGCCCGAGUUGUAAUUUGGAGAGGGCAACUUUGGGGCCGUUCCUUGUCUAUGUUCCUUGGAACAGGACGUCAUAGAGGGUGAGAAUCCCGUGUGGCGAGGAGUGCGGUUCUUUGUAAAGUGCCUUCGAAGAGUCGAGUUGUUUGGGAAUGCAGCUCUAAGUGGGUGGUAAAUUCCAUCUAAAGCUAAAUAUUGGCGAGAGACCGAUAGCGAACAAGUACAGUGAUGGAAAGAUGAAAAGAACUUUGAAAAGAGAGUGAAAAAGUACGUGAAAUUGUUGAAAGGGAAGGGCAUUUGAUCAGACAUGGUGUUUUGUGCCCUCUGCUCCUUGUGGGUAGGGGAAUCUCGCAUUUCACUGGGCCAGCAUCAGUUUUGGUGGCAGGAUAAAUCCAUAGGAAUGUAGCUUGCCUCGGUAAGUAUUAUAGCCUGUGGGAAUACUGCCAGCUGGGACUGAGGACUGCGACGUAAGUCAAGGAUGCUGGCAUAAUGGUUAUAUGCCGCCCGUC